rnacentral:rRNA from 1 species
UACGUAGGGGGCAAGCGUUGUCCGGAUUUAUUGGGCGUAAAGAGCGUGUAGGCGGCCAGACAGGUCCGUUGUGAAAACUAGAGGCUUAACCUCUAGACGUCGAUGGAAACCGUCUGGCCUAGAGUCCGGAAGAGGAGAAUGGAAUUCCUGGUGUAGCGGUGAAAUGCGCAGAUAUCAGGAAGAACACCCGUGGCUAAGGCGGUUCUCUAGUACGGUACUGACGCUGAGACGCGAAAGCGUGGGGAGCGAACAGG